rnacentral:rRNA from 1 species
CCUACGGGAGGCAGCAGUGGGGAAUUUUGGACAAUGGGCGCAAGCCUGAUCCAGCAAUGCCGCGUGCAGGAUGAAGGCCUUCGGGUUGUAAACUGCUUUUGUACGGAACGAAACGGUCCUUUCUAAUAUAAGGGGCUAAUGACGGUACCGUAAGAAUAAGCACCGGCUAACUACGUGCCAGCAGCCGCGGUAAUACGUAGGGUGCGAGCGUUAAUCGGAAUUACUGGGCGUAAAGCGUGCGCAGGCGGUUAUAUAAGACAGAUGUGAAAUCCCCGGGCUCAACCUGGGACCUGCAUUUGUGACUGUAUAGCUAGAGUACGGUAGAGGGGGAUGGAAUUCCGCGUGUAGCAGUGAAAUGCGUAGAUAUGCGGAGGAACACCGAUGGCGAAGGCAAUCCCCUGGACCUGUACUGACGCUCAUGCACGAAAGCGUGGGGAGCAAACAGGAUUAGAUACCCUGGUAGUCCACGCCCUAAACGAUGUCAACUGGUUGUUGGGUCUUCACUGACUCAGUAACGAAGCUAACGCGUGAAGUUGACCGCCUGGGGAGGUACGGCCGCGAGUAGAACGUACGAAGAGUAGUAGACGNGNGAGAGCGACGACGACGACGAGGAGGAGGAGG